ACUCCAGAUUCAAGGCACUUACAAUCCAGAUGCAAGGAUGCCCCUAACCGCUAUUUCAUGUUUCCGUUCGAAUGUCGCUGUCUCAACAAGACCUUCCCUAACUACCAGCGGUAAGCUGAAGCCAGCUACCGCCAGCUCGCGAGAGUAGACGGUGAAAUUUUCAGGAAAUCUGCAAGCCAGUUAGUAUAUACAAUCAUUAAUUCCCUCCAAGGAGACAAUAGGCAGUGGCUGGAGACACUUUUGGUUAUCACAGCUGAGAGACUGGUACUGCUGGCAUCUUGUGAGCAGAGGCCUGGGAUACUGCUAACCUCUUACAACGUACGUGGCGGCCCCCGUACAAAAGAAUUAUGUGGCUGAAAGGUCAAGGGUACUGAGUCAACCGUGAGGAAGACAGAGGAGACUGCAGACUUGCUUCAGGAUUCCCUGCGCUGAGGAACACAGACACUUCAACUGACCUUUACAGCCCAGUGUGGUAAAAUGUUAGCAUUGGGGAAAUAUGAAAGAGGUUAUUAAACCCAGGCUUGGAACAUCA